UACGGGGGGGGCAAGCGUUGUUCGGAUUUACUGGGCGUAAAGGGCGCGUAGGCGGUUUGUUAAGUUGGUUGUGAAAACUCUGGGCUUAACCCAGAGCCUGCAUCCAAAACUAGCAGACUAGAGUUCUGGAGGGGAUAGCGGAAUUCCUGGUGUAGCGGUGAAAUGCGUAGAUAUCAGGAGGAACACCGGUGGCGAAGGCGGCUAUCUGGACAGAGUCUGACGCUGAGACGCGAAAGCGUGGGGAGCAAACAGG
rnacentral:rRNA from 1 species